rnacentral:snoRNA from 1 species
UACAAAUGAUGUUUUUUCUCACGAUGGUCUUCCAAGCCUUAUGGGUUUUGACGACAUUGCCUAAUGGCAUUACUGAUGUAGCCCG